AACGAACGCUGGCGGCAGGCCUAACACAUGCAAGUCGAGCGGAUCCUUCGGGAUUAGCGGCGGACGGGUGAGUAACGCGUGGGAAUAUGCCCUUCUCUACGGAAUAGCCUCGGGAAACUGGGAGUAAUACCGUAUACGCCCUACGGGGGAAAGAGUUAUCGGAGAAGGAUUGGCCCGCGUUGGAUUAGGUAGUUGGUGGGGUAAUGGCCUACCAAGCCUACGAUCCAUAGCUGGUUUGAGAGGAUGAUCAGCCACACUGGGACUGAGACACGGCCCAGACUCCUACGGGAGGCAGCAGUGGGGAAUCUUAGACAAUGGGGGAAACCCUGAUCUAGCCAUGCCGCGUGAGUGAUGAAGGCCUUAGGGUUGUAAAGCUCUUUCAGCUGGGAAGAUAAUGACGGUACCAGCAGAAGAAGCCCCGGCUAACUUCGUGCCAGCCGCCGCGGUAACAC
rnacentral:rRNA from 1 species